GACAGAGGAUGCAAGCGUUAUCCGGAAUGAUUGGGCGUAAAGCGUGCGCAGGCGGUGAUGUAAGACAGUUGUGAAAUCCCCGGGCUCAACCUGGGAACUGCAUCUGUGACUGCAUCGCUGGAGUGCGGCAGAGGGGGAUGGAAUUCCGCGUGUAGCAGUGAAAUGCGUAGAUAUGCGGAGGAACACCGAUGGCGAAGGCAACUCCCCUGGGCCUGCACUGACGCUCAUGCACGAAGCGUGGGAGCA
rnacentral:rRNA from 1 species